AUCGAAGCCAUAAAGUCUGAGGGGAUGUUACAGGUUGAGGAUUAGGGAGUGUCUAAACCUUGACGUCGUCACAACACAGGAUCCGAGAUACCUCUGGCUGAAACGGAGACUGUGCUUUCAGAACUGGCCCAGCACCCAGUCUCUACUCCAAUGCUCUCAGGAUCCUGCCCUUAAUAGGAGAACAUGAGAGUUGCAGAUUUAAAAACCCAAGAGGAAACCUUUGCAACAACCUUUGUCAUAUUAGGAAUCCCAAAAUAAGGAGAUAUGGAAAUGUCAUGUAUUUUACCUGGAAAUCCUGUUACUGUGCCCAUUUUUGGAGCUGAGAAAACUAAAGGGCGGAGCCUACUAGGUAAGUAGUGGAACUGGAAUUAAGCCCAGGUCCUUGAUUUCAAAGCACCACCCCAUGGCCCACAAUAUCAUACACUGAUUUAGUAUCUGCCUCCUACCUACUCCCAAGAAAAAUGUGAAGUUAAUUUGUCUUUAGAUAAGAGCUACCAAAGUUAUAAAAACAAAAGAAAACAAAUGUAUUCACAGCUAAGAGAAGACAAUCUCCAGGAAACUACUGCUUCAUUUAUUUGACACUGGGCAGAAGUUUCGGUGAGAAAUCAGCAAGAUCAUAGCCUGGAGUGAACACUGGAGGCAGGAGAUGUCCUUGAGAAAGAGGCUACAACAGAGGGUGGAACACCUCUUCCAUUAAAGCGGCUGUUUUCCAGAGUUUCUGAAAAGCUCCCUCCUUUGUCAUGGUGGUGGUGGGGAAGGGCAGGCUGGGACCCUAAUGCAUGACUUUCCACCUGGGUGUUACUGGCAUCUGAUGUCCUAAUCAUAUUUCCCUGUCACCUCUCAGUGCUGAUUUACUUUCUCCUCCCAUUCUACAUGCUGCAGAACUAAUUGCCUGCCUAAUUGCCAAAACUAAUUGCUGUGACAUUCAUUGUUCAUCUGCUCCUUUCUCCGGCUUCAGCUCAGGCAGGUGGCUCCCAUGAAGGCAAGGGUGGAAUU
rnacentral:lncRNA from 1 species